GAUGAACGCUGGCGGCGUGCCUAAUACAUGCCAGUCGAGCGAACGGACGAGAAGCUUGCUUCUCUGAUGUUAGCGGCGGACGGGUGAGUAACACGUGGAUAACCUACCUAUAAGACUGGGAUAACUUCGGGAAACCGGAGCUAAUACCGGAUAAUAUUUUGAACCGCAUGGUUCAAAAGUGAAAGACGGUCUUGCUGUCACUUAUAGAUGGAUCCGCGCUGCAUUAGCUAGUUGGUAAGGUAACGGCUUACCAAGGCAACGAUGCAUAGCCGACCUGGGAGGGUGAUCGGCCACACUGGAACUGAGACACGGUCCAGACUCCUACGGGAGGCAGCAGUAGGGAAUCUUCCGCAAUGGGCGAAAGCCUGACGGAGCAACGCCGCGUGAGUGAUGAAGGUCUUCGGAUCGUAAAACUCUGUUAUUAGGGAAGAACAUAUGUGUAAGUAACUGUGCACAUCUUGACGGUACCUAAUCAGAAAGCCACGGCUAACUACGUG
rnacentral:rRNA from 1 species